rnacentral:lncRNA from 1 species
UAGAGAAAUAAGUAUCUAUUAUUUUAAGAUGUUCCCUUGUAGCCCUUUGGCCUUGGCAGCCCCAGGUCACUUUGGCACCCCGACCCUACCACCAAGGCGCAUUACAGACGCCAACAGGAGGAAACACGUUUGUUUACAGGCAGCUCUGCCCACUCUCGCCAAGAACCCCCAGCCUCCCCCAGGGGCACCAUCCCAGCAGGAAGCAGUGUGGGCACCAUCCCCCAGGGCACCAUCCCGGCAGGGACCAGUGUGGGCACCAUCCCCCAGGGCACCAUCCCGGCAGGGACCAGUGUGGGCACCAUCCCCAGGGGGCACCAUCCCGGCAGGAACCACUGUAGGCACCAUCCCCAGGGCACCAUCCUGGCAGAGACCAAGGUACAGGACUGCCAUCCCGGGGCACCCAUCCCCCCAGGGCUGCAUCCAGCAGGACAGGCGCCAUUCCCCUAGGGUGCCCCUGCGCCAGCGGGGACCAGGCACCACCCCACCUCACACCAGGAGACAUGGUUUGCAGCUAGCUACAGAAAAUCAAGGUUAGGACAUGAAUUCUGUGAAACUUGCACAAAUGAAAUUUCACUUACGUUAUAUUAUCGUUGUUCGUGGUUGCAUUUCCAAGGUACCCCAAGUGGGCUCUGACUGAGAGAGCUCUCAGAGGCUGUGGCAGGGGGCGUCUGGGCAGCCAGGACAGGUGGUCCUGUCCACAUCAUCUCCAGACUGUCCACGUCAUCUCCGGCGAGUAGGUGGGGUAGUAGGAACCCGAAGGAGUUUUCCCUUGGGGCAGCCCCAUGUGACCAUCUGAAGAUGCAAAGCCAUGUCAGCGGCCCAGGCCACCCAAGGUCUCAAAUCGGUGGCCUGCCAGCCCACCACCCCUCCCCUGCCCGCUGGCCGCUUUCAGUUCCUUCACCUCCAUUCCAGCUCCAACGCCCAGGAUGCCGCCUCUGCACCUCCCAGACCUGCCGACCAAUCACUUCCCUUCUUUUGUUUUUGUAGUGAGUCUCACUCUGUCUCCCAGGCUGGAGUGCAGCAGAGCAAUCUCGGCUCAUGGCAGCCUCAACCUCCCAGGCUGAAGGGAUCCUCCCACCUCAGCCUCCCCAAGCCCAGCUGGGGACCACAGGCAGAUGCACCACCCACAGGCUAAUUUUUUGUUGUGUAGAGACAGGGUUCCCUCGCAUUGCCCAGGCUGGUCUUGAAUUCCUAGACUCAAGCAAACCUGCCGCCCUGGCCUCUCAAAGCUCUGGGAUGACAGGCGUGAGCCACUGCACCAACAUUGGCUGUAACGUCACUUCCCUCUACCGGGCGUCCCCAGAGCACAGCACACUGCCCCUUUCCAAACCCCUCUCACUGCCCCGUGCUGCCCUGUCUCAGCCCCAGCCACCAGGGUCUCGGUGGGCCGUGGGCUCCCUGAAUGGAGGGGCUUCCACUCCCACCUCAGCAGCUCCAGGCCUCAGCAUCCCUCAGCUUCAAUGAGUUGCCUCAGUCGCUACGCAGGGAAGCCUCAGGCGAGGAGUGCCUGGCACAAGACCCCAUGUGUGUGAGGGGUGGCAGGGAG